rnacentral:rRNA from 1 species
AGUGAACGCUGGCGGUAGGCCUAACACAUGCAAGUCGAACGGCAGCACAGUAAGAGCUUGCUCUUACGGGUGGCGAGUGGCGGACGGGUGAGGAAUACAUCGGAAUCUACUUUUUCGUGGGGGUUAAGGUAGGGAAACUUACGCUAAUACCGCAUACGACCUACGGGUGAAAGCAGUGGAUCUUCGGACCUUGCGCGAAUGAAUGCGCCGAUGUCGGAGUAGCUAGUUGGGGGGGUAAACGCCCACCAAGGCGACGAUCCGUAGCUGGUCUGAGAGGAUGGUCGGCCGCACUGGAAGUGAGCCGCCGUCCAUACUCCUGCGGUAGGCAGCAGUGGGGAAUAUUGGACAAAGGGCGCAAGCCUUAUCCAGCCGUACCGCGUGGGUUAAGAAGGCCUUCGGGUUGUAAAGCCCUUUUGUUGGGAAAGAAAAGCAGCAGGUUAAUACCCCGCUGUUCUGACGGUACCCAAAGAAUAAGCACCGGCUAACUUCGUG